CAGGAAAUCUAGGUAUCUCUUCGAGUAUAAAUUUUAAAAUGCAGCCAUAAAUGAAUUACAACUAAUCAGUGAGCAAUGGCACUAAAGGCAAAAAGAUUUUAUUAUAUAUUUUCUUAAUAUUUUUAUUUUUAUCUAUUCUUUAAGAAGUUAAUUAUAGGCUCCACUGAAAAUGUUGACGUAAAACCCAUGUAUUUAUAUACAUAUUCAUACAGUAAAAAUUGUUUAUAAUGACGUUCAAGGGACAAAGGAAAAUAGAUCAUAAUGAACGUUUGUCAUAAUAAUCAAAAUUAUGAAGAAAAAAAAUUGUAACUUCAAUACAUAUAGAAAAAAAAUUCUUCAAAUUUUGUUUUUGGACUACAUUAUUCCAAUAUAACCAAAAAUAACCGUCAAAACAUCCGUAAGCCAUUACACAGACGUCAUAAUAAUGGAUACAAAUUAGUACAUGCAAUAUAUAGGAGUCUUGCAGGGAUUUUUAAACUAAGCUUGUACAUGACGUGACAGGCAAGGAUUCAAUAGGGGUGAUAAAAAGUAAAGUUAGCGGACGCUUUCAAUCAAAAUGGAUAACCAUCAGACCUGCUACAGUAUUUUCAUUCAUCCAAUCAUGGUUUAUUCAUAAGCAAGAAAAUUAAUUUUACAGUGGAGCAGAAAUUUCUGGCAUAUAAAAGAUAUACCGCAAAAAUAAUUUUAGACUUGAAGUUAACAUAUCAUUUUCUUAGAAACAACAGAAUAGCUGCACCCAUUUUUUUUUUUAUUUCUUCCUCUUUCCUUAUUUUAACUUUUGUUAACCAAAAUUCUUUAGGUAAUAUAACUUCAUCAAAAAACUGAUCUUGGUUUAUUAUAUUAAACAUUAUUUUCUCUCAGUUUCCAUUAACCGGGACAAAUUAAAUGACUGACUAGGACACUGAGGUAUGCUGUUAAAAUUGAGACGAAUGGUAAGCCUACUUAUAAGGUACCUUCUUUUAUACUUCUAACUUUGAAAACAAUUUUUGACAUUUCAUGAUUUUCUUAAGAACAUAUUACUUAAAUAUAAAACUACCUUUGAGUAAAACAAAUUUUUUUCUUUGUUUACCUACCUUUAAAUUA